CAGUCGCCACGGGAAUACGGAGGGUGCAAGCGUUAAUCGGAAUUACUGGGCGUAAAGCGCACGCAGGCGGUCUGACAAGUCAGAUGUGAAAUCCCCGGGCUUAACCUGGGAACUGCAUUUGAAACUGUCAGGCUGGAGUCUUGUAGAGGGGGGUAGAAUUCCAGGUGUAGCGGUGAAAUGCGUAGAGAUCUGGAGGAAUACCGGUGGCGAAGGCGGCCCCCUGGACGAAGACUGACGCUCAGGUGCGAAAGCGUGGGGAGCAAACAGGAUUAGAUACCCGAGUAGUCCCUGUCUCUUAUAC
rnacentral:rRNA from 1 species